CAUGGAAAGGAUUGACAAAUUGAUAGCUCUUUCUUGAUCCUGUGGGUAUUGGUACAUGGCUGUUCUCAGUUGGUGAAACCAUCUGUCUGGUUAAUUCUGAUAAUGAACAAUAUUAUGAUAUUCUAACAAAUCACUCCCAAUUGAGUGACUAUAAUAUAAAAUCAGUGAAUAUCUUU
rnacentral:ncRNA from 1 species